GGGACUGAGACACGGCCCAAACUCCUACGGGAGGCAGCAGUGGGGAAUAUUGGACAAUGGGGGCAACCCUGAUCCAGCAAUGCCAUGUGUGUGAAGAAGGCCCUAGGGUUGUAAAGCACUUUAGUUGGGGAGGAAAGCCUCAAGGUUAAUAGCCUUGGGGGAGGACGUUACCCAAAGAAUAAGCACCGGCUAACUCCGUGCCAGCAGCCGCGGUAAUACGGGGGGUGCAAGCGUUAAUCGGAAUUACUGGGCGUAAAGGGUCUGUAGGUGGUUUGUUAAGUCAGAUGUGAAAGCCCAGGGCUCAACCUUGGAACUGCAUUUGAUACUGGCAAACUAGAGUACGGUAGAGG
rnacentral:rRNA from 1 species